UUUGAAUUAUACCAAAGAUAAUUGCUAGCCUCGCAAAAAUUCUUAGGAUGGUGAAGGAGCAAAAUGAUAUUUGUUGUAGAAAAGCACCAUUCUGGCCUAAUGACAUGUGAUGAUUGACAUGUUUACUCCUAGGGUGAACCUUUAAAUUCAGCUCUUUUCUUAUUACCAAUCAAAAUACCACAUAGAUUAAUAAUAAAAUAGAUUAAUUUUAUUUUAAAAAAAUCUGAAAUAAUUGAAAAAGAAUAAUAACGUCAAUUUUAAUGAUGCUAACGCCACUAACUAAACCCUAAACUUUAAAUCUAAACUCCAAAUCCAAACCUAAAUCCUAAACCCUAAACCCAAACCCUAUAUCCUAAACCCAAAUCCUAAACCCUAAACCCAAACCGUAAACCAUAAACUCAAACUCUAUAUCCUAAACUCAAAUCAUAGACUCUAAACUCAAACCAUAUAUCCAAACAUAAUCCCUACACCCUAAACCCAAAUCGUAAACCCUGAACCUAAAUCCUAUAUCCUAAAGGUUUGGGUUAAUGUUGAUGUUGUUUGUUUAGGGUUUAAGAUUUGAGUUUAGAGUCUAGGUUUGGGUUUAGGAUCUAUGGUUUGAGUUUAAAGUCUAAGGUUUGAGUUUAGAGUUUACGGUUUGGGUUUAAGAUAUAGGGUUUGGGUUUAGGGUUAGAGUUUGGGUUUAGAAUUUAGGGUUUAGGGUUUAGAUUUAAGGUUUAGGGUUUAAAAUUUAAGAUUUAAGGUUUAGUUAGUGGCGUUAGCGUUAUUAAAAUGAGCGUCAUUAUUAUUUUUCAAUUAUUUUAGAUUUUUCUUUUAAAAAAAUAAUAUAUUUUAUUAUUAA
rnacentral:lncRNA from 1 species